AGGUCUGUGGAGAAUUUACACGUUGUAUUGCAAAAUCAGAGAUGCAGCUUCAAUUCUGCCGGGGCUU
rnacentral:tRNA from 1 species